CAACGUUUCAAAGUUGGUGAUAAGUUGUUAUUGUUCACCAGUCGCCGCGCCACUAUCGUUUUCAUUGUCCUGUUUACGGAUCGUAACUCUCUAUUGAUCAUGUCGAUAUUCCGUUUUAGAGGACAGCUAGCUACAUUCAAAUAAACGAGGAUUAGUAAAUUUAGCAUUUGAUACUUCACGGUUUAACCUUGCCUCGAUUGAUAUUGAGGAAAAUCGGUAAAAUAUAUUAGUCGAUCGAAAAGUAAUUUCAUUUUCUCACACGAGUGUCGCUAAUUGAACGUUUAUCCAGCCAACUUCAUUCUAAACUGUAUUGUUAUAUAUUUUGACACUUCAUAUCUUAUGAUUUAUUUAUAAGAAAAAUUCGUUUGAUUCUGUGUAUGAUUGUGUUUUUCUUAUCUGAUAACAAAAAUGCAAGAUCAAAAGGAGCAUUUUCGGCAUAUUUUACGUUUUUAUAAUCGAAAAGAUGCGCUACGUUCUGGAAGAUCGGUUGAAGUGACGAAGACAAACUAAAGGCAUGGAUUGAAGCAAAUCGACGAAUAAUAACUCGAGAAAUUGCUACGAGAUUGAAUUCGAUUGUUCACGAUCAUGUGAAACGACUGUUUCAUUGUCAUAAGAAAGCGAAAUUAUUUUCCGAACAACUCAAUAUAUGUAUUCAUUUAUAAUUUCAAUUGUUCUUUCGAUACUAUAAUCUAUGUAUAACCUCUUUUUGCAGAAGAUUAACAAAUUUAAAGUUAGUAUAGUAUAUCCAUCAUAUGAGAUACACCGAUAGAUCAAAUCGGGAGUGGAGACCUGGGCAAAAAGAUUAAAGAAGAUUCUUCGUUCAGACUUGGUGCUUAAACUUGUCUCUGAACGCUUUAAUUACGGUGGCGGAUGGCGACAGUGGGAAGAAGUAGAAGAAAGGGCGAGGAACAGGAAAAUAUUGCACGAGGCAACAGGCGUGAAAUUAUUCGCAGGCCGGAAUAGAUCAGAAACAGAAGGAUGCGGGAUAGUUGCUGGAAAAUAAAGGAAAAUGGUGGCCGGCCGGCCGUUUAUCGAUUAACAAUGAGGAAUUUUACAAAGGGAUAAUAGGAGAUCGUGAAAGGGAAUUAAAUAUUCCUGUAUACAAGAUGCCCCAGUUCUUUCCCUCUUUGUCAAAACUUUAUCGACGCCCUCAAGUGUGAAUAAGAAGAGGACAAAGGAUGCAUUCUUAUCUAAAAAUCUAGAAGAAAUCUAGUCUAUCAACAGUUAUUUAACCCUUCUUUUUUCAGACAUCACACCUUUUUUUAUAAUAAAUCUAAAUGCAGUUGAGAGGAAUAUUAAGAUGAAUCAAUCUUCUCGCACUCCUACGUAGAAAAUUACGAAACUUUAAAUGAAGUUCGUUGAAAUCGUUAAAGCGGAUUUCCUUGUUUUAUACGGAUGUUUUUAUUUACAUUAAGUUAACGAAUAAUAGAUAGGCGAUCGAGAAAAUGGAUCAAUGGAAUAUGUAAGAACAUCAUAGACGGAAAGACACGACGUUUUCUUUUCCAAAGUUAGUUUUUACUCACUUUAUGAUCAUUUUAUUUACUCUGUACGUAUACUAUAUUACGUUGUUCAAAACUUUCUACUUUUUUUUUUUUAUUCUCCCUUGUCACAACGCAAUUUUCAUUUUAAUUUAAAUAAUUCUAUCAGUUGAAUGUGUCAACCGGAAAAUUCUUAUAAUGAAUUUCGAAACUUUUUCCAUUGUUCAUCAUCCCCUUUUUAAAUAUCGAGUGGUUGCUUUUAACUACAUCGUGUUAUAAAGUUUCUUUAUCUAUUAUUCGUUUCUUUUUUUUUUUCUUUUUCUUUUUUGAAAGAACUAAUUCAUUUGUACAAAAUUAAUUUAUAUCGCUCGUUUCAAUUUUUUUUUUUUGAACAAUACAUUUAUUUCACGUCAAUAGAUGCAAUUUGUUUCAAUAAAUUGCAAUCCAUUGUACGCUUUCCACGCGUUACAUCGAACGAUCAUACCUUAAAUAUAUCGAAUGGUGUAAAAAAAUUUCACGAAAAAUUUCAAUAACUGUGAACAAUCGUAACGGACUUGUCGAAUCUGUUGCAUAAGAGAGAAAUAAUAAAAUCCUGGUGAAAAAAAAUAAACAGUAACGAUGGUAAAACGAUUCAUCAUCGAUCGUUGCUCGUUCGAACGUGAUAUUCGUUCCGCUAACCUCAAAAUUGAAGCUCGCGAAAAGUACCUGGCCGGCCACUUCAUUAACACCGUCGAAUCUCUAAACUUAACUUCUAAAUUUUCCUUCCUUUUUUUUUCUCGAAUCGUUUAUCAUCUUUUCCAUUCUCGAUUCAUUAAUAACGAAAGAAAUAAUACUCGAAUAAAGAAGUGGAUGAAUUAUUAUUCAUUUCACUAUAAAUCUACGUUUAAUCAAAUAACGUUUAAAUUUUUAAAUCUGUUCGACUUUUAAAUUCUUACAUGAUUUAAGUUCGAAUCGAUUGGUUUCUAUCU
rnacentral:lncRNA from 1 species